ACUUUAAGAAAGAGGAAUACCUUUUUAAAUUAUAAAAGAAUGAUAAACAUAAAGCUCAUGUUAUGACACCAUGGUUUGUAAUACGAAGUCAAGUUUGCUAAUGAUCUGUGAAAUUGCAUAAUUAUUUCCAAGAAGCUUGCUCCCAUUCUCUGGCCUCAUAAACUGCACUAUUGACCAGGCAGAGAUAUCAGAAGCAUAACUGAUUAUUUUCUGUCUACACCAGUGAUCUAGAAGUGUUUAAUAAACAAGUACCCAGCCUGCAAGCAGAGCAUGUUCUACCUGAAGCCAUUAUAUCUUCUAUCUGGUCAAGUGUCCUAGCUAAGUCAGGGGAAGCUAGUCAGGGAUACUAGAUAUGCUGGAAACACAGAUAAGCUUGUGUGUGCACCACCAGUAUCUGGAAAAAACUCUGGACUCUGUGAGAACAGCAAGUACUCUGAAACACUGAGUCAUCUUUCCAGACCCUUAUAUGUAUUUUUAAGUAACAGUUUAACAGUUUUUGCAAUUAUAGGUUACGUGUGACUAAGUCAGUUGGACUCUGUGAGUGGUAUAACAUGUGUUGGGGGAUGGUGACGGUGUUGGUCACUCACCACUUUGUUCUGAAUGUUAGCAUCAUCCUCCCACAGCUCUCUUUGCUGCCAGAUGCCCCUUCGAUUUUCAGCUUGUUCUAUAAGCUAUAAACUGAUUCCCUCCAUGGAAAUUUCUAAAGGCUCUCUUGCCUAGCAACACCGAGAAAGCCCUACAGCCUGGCACUGUUGGAUGUCCAAAGUAUCCUCUUUGACUCUUCCAAGCACCAUUCUUAUGUACUCGUUGAUUUCCAGUAGUUGUGUGUGUGUUGUUGUUGUUGCUGCUGUUGCUGUUUUCAGACAGGGUUUCUCUGUGUAGCUGUCCUGGAAUUCACUCUGUAGACCAGACAGACUGGCCUGAAACCCAGAGAGCUACCUCCCUCUGCCUCCUUUGGUGCUGGGAUUAAAGGCAUGCAUCACAACUGCCUGUCUCAAUCUACAAUUCUUUAGUCCAACAGAGUCAUCAUUAAUUCUGCUGUACUCUUUAAUGCCCUGGGCUCAGCCCAUCAUGCUCUCCGAUCCCACCUAGAAUAUCUGCCUCUAUGCCUUCAUCACUGGCAUUCAAAAUCCUACAUAAAAAGAGUCUGUGUUUGUGUGCAUGCCUGCAAAUCCUUGUGCCCGUAUGUGGAAGCCAGAGUCAAUGUUAGGUGUCUUCCCCAAUUGCUCUUAUCCUUAUUUUUGAGACAGUAUCUCACCCUGAACGCAGAGAUUACCAGUUGGGCUAGACUGGUUGGUUGGCCCUCAAGCCCCAGAGAUUCUGCAGUCCCCGCCUCUCAGUGCCGGGAUGAGAACUCAGGUCCUAAUGCUUGUGUGGCAGGCACUUUACCAACUGAACCAUUUUGACCUUGAAAGAUAUUUUUUUAAUGGGAUAAAAAGAAUCCUGUAAUGUUCGGAAUUUUGCGGUGACUGUACUGUAUCUUAGUUAGAGUUUCCAUUAUGUGAAGAGAUACCAUGGCCAUGACAACUUUAUAAAGGGCAUAAAUGAUGAUCCAGGGAGCUCCGGAGAAGAACGGGAGGGUGCAAGCCCUGAAUGAGCAGCUAGAGAUAAGUAGAAUAGUAAGAGCUAAUUAUGUAAAUUCAUUUCUAGACUUAGCUUUUGGAAUUUCCAUGACCUGUGCCCCUUUUGGAUCCUGGCACACCUGGCCUGUCUUCUUCAUAUUGAUCAGGGCCACCAGGUCUGGUUGGCUGACCUGAGAGGGUAACUUCUACUUUGCCUGUUGCUCGGAAUCAGUGUGUCGCCUGGUUCUGUUUCCAUUGGUUUCUAUUUCUCAUCUCAUUAAUAGAAUUUCAAUUAUCUUCCUUCCAGAAAAUAUUCUUUGAGCACCUAGAUGGCAUGUCAGACACUUUGUUAUGUGCAAGGGAACAUAAAAUUAGCAAAUCUGAAAGGGGACAUUACGAUGAACAAAUCCGAUAUGUCUCUGCCUCAUGGAGUGCACUGAUUUUCACACUAAAAGAAUUGUGUUAGGUGGGCAAGUUGGAUGACUGCUAAGAUUAAAUAAAACAACGUUUUGAAAAAGAAUCCACUAUUUAGUCAUCAGUUCCCAGCUUCAGUCUAACGACCAAGUCACCAAGGAGCAGAUCUGUGUUCUGGAGAGUCUCCUCUCAGCUAGAGAAAGUACAAGACUCAUCACGGGAGCUUGGCGGCUUGGAAGGACAGCAGCUCUGGAUACUCAUGCUCCAAGGAGAGGCGUUCCCCACCUCCAACUCUAAGACAAUCCUGCUGAACAGGUAGCCAGCUUUUUGGAUGGCCUCUAAACCUAUUUUUUAAAAGUACAUACCUCUCUGUUCAUGUCAAAGUUAACAGAUUUUUGUCAUAAGUUCAAACAAAAGCAUUUAGACUGUGGCACGUUGCAUAUGCCCUAUUUUGUAAUGUGUCGUGGUGUUGUAAGUACUGGCGUUAUAUCACCCAAUGCUCCUGCUUUUAAAGAUGGCCAGCUGGAUAAGCUUUCCUUAGUGAUUUGACAGUGUUAAAAAAAAAUGCUCAUAAUCUACUUUAAAAUUCUGAGGUCUGUGAUAUUUUGCCACCCAGGUGACACGGGACCUGAAGUGACAUGAGGAAGUUAGUCGGCACAGCCCGGAGGCAGCAUCAACAGGCAUCCUGCCAGCCUGAGACUCAGCUGGCUGACAGAACAUCGGAGACUUUGCUAAUAUCAUUUUUAUUGAUGAUAAAACUGGGCUCUUAAUAGCCAGAAGAGGGCACCAGAUCUCAUUACAGAUGGUUGUGAGCCACCAUGUGGUUGCCGGGAAUUGAACUCAGGACCUUUGGAAGAACAGGCAAUGCUCUUAACCUCUGAGCCAUCUCUCCAGCCCAAGCAUGGUAUGAAGAGUGUCUACCAAAACGGAAGUGCUAUGUCAGACCCUACUGAAAUGGAGCCAUGAAGAAAGAGCCUUCAUGAGGAUGCCCCUUAACAAGAGCUACCACGAAAGGUUUUCCUAAGGGAGCAGCACCCUGGGCCUCCCGGGCCUGGUGCGGGCCAGUGACUGCUACAACUGGUAGAGAAGUACUGCCCCCCAGAGAAGAGAGUGCUUGCUCUGCAGUCCUACGUUUAUCCCUCUGAGGGGAAAAACAUAAAUACUAAAUCCACUGAAAUUUUAAAUUGAAAGGAAAGAGAAAAGAAAUGCACAUUCCAGGGUCCUGCACUGGGAAAACUCUGUUACCCCAGCCCACCCAGCUUCAGGAGAUUGCAGUAGAUCACCAGGGAAGGGGCUUGGAGCAUUUGUAUCCCUAGGAACACUGUUGAGGGGUGGGGUGUUAUGAUUUGCUUUCAACAGCACAAUCCUCAAAGCCAGUGGGUCCACUGCGUCAAUCUCCAGAAACAUCUAGAUGAUUAGCUUGCAAUGCACAGCAGAUUCCUCCUGAACACAGAACUGUGGAUGCGAACAUGAAGCCACUGACGGGAGACUGGCCAGGGAGUUCCUGUUCGCCGAAGCCUCGGCCAAGCUCCAACAGUAAACAAAUCAGAUCUGAUCAUGCCUGACCCCCAGAGCCGAUGAGAGCGGUUCAGAGGCGCAUGCACGGAAGGAAUAUGUGGCAAACACCGAAGCUACAAUGUGCGAUGCGGUAGAAUCGUCAGAGUCGUGAUCCCGAGAAUGCAUUUGGUUUCUUGGAGAAGAUGUGUCGAUUCUCAGGAUUUGUUUUGAAACCAAUUUAAUUUUGUGUGUACAGAGCUGUUUUUAUUAAGAAUCUGAUGCAGGGGCUGGAGAGAUGGCUCAGUGGUUAAGAACACUGGCAGUUCUUCCAG